AUGGACGUUACCGAGACGAUGAAAGAAGCCGGCUCGGAAAAUGACACAAUUCGAAAAUCUGAAAGGAAGCCAGUGAAAAAGAAAUUUGAUGAUUUUGAGAUUGACGUAAGAAAAAAAGCUAGACUCGAAAAUGAUGAAGGGAAUGACAGCAGCAUGAUAGAAUAUCAAAAUGUGGACAAAGAGCAGGAAAUUUCAUCAGAAAAUCAAUUUGACAUUGAUCCAACCCAAAAUGAAAGUAUUGUUUUCACCAUUGAGGAACGGAUUGGGGAGAGUAAUAUGUUGGAAAAGUUGAAGACUUUGGAAUCUUCAGAGUCAGACAAUAAUAAUCACUGCAGCGAACCCAGAAGACUAACGGUGAAAGAAUUAUUGGAAAUAGUUGAACCGAAAAUGUCCGUCAGUGAGUUCCAAAAUCUGGUUCAGUCGAAAUCAUUGAACGACUCUCCCGUGAAGAAACCCCCAAGCACCAAACGAUUUCGCAACGAGUGGCUAAAGAUGAGUGAAUUUAAAGAAUGGCUACAACCGCAUUCAUUACGUGACAAAGCUUUUUGUACCAUUUGUAACAAAGUUCUGAACGCAGGAAAGAGUGAGUUAGAAAAACAUGGAGCCACUCGGAAACAUUAUACUCUAUUGGAACAGUGGCGGAGCUCAUCAAAUGAUUUUCUUGAAAGACCUAGAUCAUCAAUCACUGGUAGUCCCGUUUCAAACAGUAUGUUCAGUGCAGUACCUUUUCGUAGGAAACAUUCUAGUGAAUCAUCAAACGACGGUGGACCUGCUAUUCAGGUGCCUGAUUCUCGACCCCAACUUGAGAUUGUUAUUCCUUCAGGCGAUGAAGAAACAGAAGAGUAUGACUAUGAAUUAGAAGAAAAUGAUGGGAAACGCUAUUCAAAUCAUAGCUUUGCGCAACCUGUUAAACACAAGGAAAAAGAUAACAGUUCCCAAUCUAAAGCGGCGGUGUCCAAGGCUGCGCCAUUUUGGAAAGCCAGUGCUAUUGUAAAUGGUCAUGUAACAGAAUUGAAACUGUCAGACUACAAAGGUCGUUAUUUGUCUCAUUUUCUACCUCAAGACUUGUAAGUAGCACAUCAUUACAUUUUGUCUUUAGUUUGAUCUAGUGUUAAUGAAUACAUAUGAUGAUAAUUUUUUUCUAUGACACCCAUCAAAUAAGGUGGAUGUCAUUUCAGCGAUAAACCUUAGAAU
rnacentral:lncRNA from 1 species